GACAGAGGCCUCAAGCGUUAGGCGGAAUCACUGGGCUUAAAGCGUGUGUAGGCGGAUCGUUAAGUGUCUUGUGAAAUCCCACGGCUCACCCGUGGAACUGCUGGGCAUACUGGCGAUCUUGGGCCAACUAGGGGCAACUGGAACAAGCGGUGGAGCGGUGAAAUGCGUAGAUAUCAUUUGGAACGCCAAUGGUGAAAACAGCUCGCUGGGGGUGCACUGACACUGAGACACGAAAGCCAGGGGAGCGAACGGG
rnacentral:rRNA from 1 species